CACAUGCAAGUCGAGCGGUAACAUUUCUAGCUUGCUAGAAGAUGACGAGCGGCGGACGGGUGCGUAACACGUAGGAAUCUGCCCGGUAGUGGGGGAUAGCCCGGAGAAAUCCGGAUUAAUACCGCAUACGCCCCAAGGGGGAAAGCAGGGGAUCUUCGGACCUUGCGCUAUCGGAUGAGCCUGCGUCGGAUUAGCUUGUUGGUGGGGUAAAGGCCUACCAAGGCGACGAUCCGUAGCUGAUCUGAGAGGAUGAUCAGCCACACUGGGACUGAGACACGGCCCAGACUCCUACGGGAGGCAGCAGUGGGGAAUAUUGCACAAUGGGCGAAAGCCUGAUGCAGCCAUGCCGCGUGUGUGAAGAAGGCUCUAGGGUUGUAAAGCACUUUCAGCGAGGAGGAAAGGUUGACCAUUAAUACUCGGUAGCUGUGACGUUACUCGCAGAAGAAGCACCGGCUAACUCCGUGCCAGCAGCCGCGGUAAUACGGAGGGUGCGAGCGUUAAUCGGAAUUACUGGGCGUAAAGCGUGCGUAGGCGGCUGAUUAAGUUGGGUGUGAAAGCCCCGGGCUCAACCUGGGAACUGCAUCCAAAACUGAUCAGCUAGAGUGCGGAAGAGGAGUGUGGAAUUUCCUGUGUAGCGGUGAAAUGCGUAGAUAUAGGAAGGAACACCAGUGGCGAAGGCGACACUCUGGUCUGACACUGACGC
rnacentral:rRNA from 1 species